rnacentral:rRNA from 1 species
UACGUAGGGUGCGAGCGUUACUCGGAAUUACUGGGCGUAAAGCGUGCGCAGGCGGUUUUGUAAGCCAGAUGUGAAAUCCCCGGGCUCAACCUGGGAAUGGCAUUUGGGACUGCAAGGCUGGAGUGCGGCAGAGGAGACUGGAAUUCCUGGUGUAGCAGUGAAAUGCGUAGAUAUCAGGAGGAAUACCGAUGGCGGAGGCAGGUCUCUGGGCUGACACUGACGCUCAUGCACGAAAGCGUGGGGAGCAAACAGG